UACAGAGGUCUCAAGCGUUGUUCGGAUUCAUUGGGCGUAAAGGGUGCGUAGGUGGUGCUGUAAGUCAGGGGUGAAAUCUCGGGGCUCAACCCCGAAACUGCACUUGAUACUGCAGUGCUUGAGGACUGGAGAGGAGAUUGGAAUUCAUGGUGUAGCAGUGAAAUGCGUAGAUAUCAUGAGGAAGACCAGUGGCGAAGGCGGAUCUCUGGACAGUUCCUGACACUGAGGCACGAAGGCCAGGGGAGCAAACGGG
rnacentral:rRNA from 1 species